UGAAAAGCUGCUAUGAAUGUUUCAGAGC
rnacentral:sRNA from 1 species